rnacentral:rRNA from 1 species
GACGAACGCUGGCGGCGUGCCUAAUACAUGCAAGUUGAGCGAUGAAGAUUGGUGCUUGCACCAAUUUGAAGAGCAGCGAACGGGUGAGUAACGCGUGGGGAAUCUGCCUUUGAGCGGGGGACAACAUUUGGAAACGAAUGCUAAUACCGCAUAAUAACUUUAAACAUAAGUUUUAAGUUUGAAAGAUGCAAUUGCAUCACUCAAAGAUGAUCCCGCGUUGUAUUAGCUAGUUGGUGAGGUAAGGGCUCACCAAGGCGAUGAUACAUAGCCGACCUGAGAGGGUGAUCGGCCACAUUGGGACUGAGACACGGCCCAAACUCCUACGGGAGGCAGCAGUAGGGAAUCUUCGGCAAUGGACGAAAGUCUGACCGAGCAACGCCGCGUGAGUGAAGAAGGGUUUCGGAUCGGAAAACUCUGUUGGUAGAGAAGAACGUUGGUGAGAGUGGAAAGCUCAUCAAGUGACGGUAACUACCCAGAAAGGGACGGCUAACUACGUG